rnacentral:rRNA from 1 species
CAGCCGCCGCGGUAAUACGUAGGGUGCAGGCGUUAAUCGGAAUUACUGGGCGUAAAGCGUGCGCAGGCGGUCCGCUAAGACAGAUGUGAAAUCCCCGGGCUUAACCUGGGAACUGCAUUUGUGACUGGCGGGCUAGAGUAUGGCAGAGGGGGGUAGAAUUCCACGUGUAGCAGUGAAAUGCGUAGAGAUGUGGAGGAAUACCGAUGGCGUAGGCAGCCCCCUGGGCCAAUACUGACGCUCAUGCACGAAAGCGUGGGGAGCAAACAGGAUUAGAUACCCCUGUAGUCCCUGUCUCUUAUAC